UACGUAGGGCGCAAGCGUUGUCCGGAAUUAUUGGGCGUAAAGAGCUCGUAGGCGGUCUGUCGCGUCUGCUGUGAAAACUCAGGGCUUAACCCUGAGCUUGCAGUGGGUACGGGCAGACUAGAGUGCGGUAGGGGAGACUGGAAUUCCUGGUGUAGCGGUGAAAUGCGCAGAUAUCAGGAGGAACACCGAUGGCGAAGGCAGGUCUCUGGGCCGAGUACUGAC
rnacentral:rRNA from 1 species